rnacentral:misc_RNA from 1 species
GAAAUGCGAUACGUAAUGUGAAUUGCAGAAUUCAGUGAAUCAUCGAGUCUUUGAACGCACAUUGCGCCCCCUGGUAUUCCGGGGGGCAUGCCUGUCCGAGCGUCAUUGCUGCCCUCAAGCACGGCUUGUGUGUUGGGCCCCCGUCCCCCCCCAAGGCGACGGGCCCGAAAGGCAGCGGCGGCACCGUGUCCGGUCCUCGAGCGUAUGGGAAGCAACUUUUUGUCACCCGCUCCUGUAGGUCCGGCCGGCGGCCUGCCCAACCCCAACCUUUUUUUCAACCAGGUUGACCUCGGAUCAGGUAGGGAUACCCGCUGAACUUAAGC